AUAAUGGAUAUUUCGUUCUCCUCCUCAACCAUAUCACACUAUUCUUCUUUCUCCUCUCUUCUAAAAAGUUGGUGGAGAGCAAACCCGCCUGUUGGCUAGCUGGGCCAUGGGUUUAAUCAGAAGCUUAAAGCAUUCAAAAGUUUUCAAGGAUUGGAAUGUAAACACUUUUUGGCAGUUCACUGCUAACAAAACAUCUCUUUAAAAAAGCUUGUCUGACAUAGAUUCUUUGGAAGAAUUGGGUUCAUUGAAGCCUAGCUAUUUCCAGAAAAGGGUUGAAAUCAAUUUGAACUUCUUUCUAUUGCUGCGUCUGAGGAACCUAUUUGGCAACAGCGAGGUAAAUUACAGUUGUUGAAAGUGGGUGAUGGAAAUACCUUCUUUUUUUUUUUUUUUUUCCUCCCCAUCGUAUAAUUCCUGCCAAUAUGGCAUGGAACACAAUUGUUGAGGUGCUUGCUUGGUCGGUAUGAGGUUAGUUACUGCCCAGGACAUUGAAGAUGAGUUUGUGACUUCUAUAGAGCUUUAUGCACUUGGAAAAGAGGUGGGCACACUAUUGGACAUCGAUUGGAGUCACAGAUUCUUUCUGCUGUUAACGAAAUGGGGCACAGACAAAGUCCCUGGGGCUUCACUAUUGAACUCUUAAAAAAAAUCUUGGAACAUUCUCAAGAUAGACAUCGAGAGUGUUCACUGAUUUUUUUUUUUUUUUUUAAGAAUGCUAUUAUCGAUGCCAGUGUGUUGAUGUGACCUAUAUCUGUGUCUUAUCCCUAGAAGAAUUUAUGCUAAAUCGGUAGGCCUUUAAGUCUUACUAGCCUUUACAAAAUCAUUAUGAAGGUUCUCUCGAAAAGACUAAAGAAAGUGCUUCCAUACACUAUCUCCGACUACCAAUCAGCCUUUGUGUGGCUAAUAGAUAGACUGUACCUGCAUCUUAGAUUGCAAAUGAGUUUAUUGAAAAUAGACGUUGCCAGAAGGAACCAGCUGUGGUGAUCAAAUCUUACAUUGAAAAGGAUUUUGACAAGGUUGAUUAGGACUUUCUAGACCUUAUUCUUCAAGCUCAGGGUUUUGGGCAUCCUUGGAGGAGGUAGAUUAGGGGUUGUAUUUCAUCAAUUAACUUCUCCAUCAUUAACAAUGGCUAGCCCUGUGGAAUGAUCAUUGCUUCUACAGGUCUUCGACACGGUGAUCCUUUAUCACCUUUCCUUUACACCAUUGUUAUGGAUGUUGUUUUUUGUAGAAUGUUCUCCCUUGCAGAAAGGAGAUGCUUGAUUAAUGUGUUGAAAGUGGGUAGGACAGACCACUGUUUUUUAGAUUACUCACUUACAAUUGCGGAUGACACUGUUCUUUUUUCAUCUCCAGAGGUCUCUCACAUUAAUUAUUUGUUGUAUUAAAGAGUUUGAAGAAGCAUCCGUGCUUAAUAUUUAUUAUCAGAAACCGAUUUUAUGGGGGUUGAUCUCGAUAAUUCUCCUGCGGAAUUGUAGGCUACCAAAUGGGGUUGCAAAAAUGUGCAGAAAAGGCUACGAUCUUGGGAACCUCAUAUGUCAAAAGGGGGUUGAUGAGACACUUAUUCAAGCUACUAAAGUUAAUCUCUCCAUCUACCAUCCAUCCCUUUUUCCUAAUUACUCAAAGUCUUCUGCGUCUAUUGAGAGAUCUUUUAGGAACUUUUAUGGAAGGGAAAUUUUCACAACUUAAGAUGGAAUAAAGUUAAACACCCGUUUGAGGAAGGUGGCCUGGGGAUUAUUGACCCAAAACUUAAAAAUGCAUCCUUAAUGUUUGGAUCGAUUUGGCAAUUUCACGAA